CCUACGGGUGGCUGCAGUGGGGAAUAUUGGACAAUGGGCGAAAGCCUGAUCCAGCCAUGCCGCGUGUGUGAAGAAGGCCUUCGGGUUGUAAAGCACUUUCAGUGGGGAAGAAAGCCUUGGGGCUAAUACCCUCGAGGAAGGACAUCACCCACAGAAGAAGCACCGGCUAACUCCGUGCCAGCAGCCGCGGUAAUACGGAGGGUGCGAGCGUUAAUCGGAAUUACUGGGCGUAAAGCGCGCGUAGGCGGUCUGAUAAGCCGGUUGUGAAAGCCCCGGGCUCAACCUGGGAACGGCAUCCGGAACUGUCAGGCUAGAGUGCAGGAGAGGAAGGUAGAAUUCCCGGUGUAGCAGUGAAAUGCGUAGAGAUCGGGAGGAAUACCAGUGGCGAAGGCGGCCUUCUGGACUGACACUGACGCUGAGGUGCGAAAGCGUGGGUAGCAAACAGGAUUAGAUACCCGUGUAGUC
rnacentral:rRNA from 1 species